rnacentral:rRNA from 1 species
UCAUGGCUCAGGACGAACGCUGGCGGCGUGCUUAACACAUGCAAGUCGAGCGGGGAUUGAAGGAGUGCUUGCACGAAUUCAAUUCUAGCGGAGGACGGGUGAGUAACGCGUGAGCAAUCUGUCCUACACAGGGGGAUAACAACUGGAAACAGUUGCUAAUACCGCAUAAGACCACGAGGUCGCAUGGCUUUGAGGUAAAAGAUUUAUCGGUGUAGGGUGAGCUCGCGUCUGAUUAGCUAGUUGGUGAGGUAACGGCCCACCAAGGCGACGAUCAGUAGCCGACCUGAGAGGGUGAUCGGCCACAUUGGAACUGAGACACGGUCCAGACUCCUACGGGAGGCAGCAGUGGGGAAUAUUGGGCAAUGGGCGCAAGCCUGACCCAGCAACGCCGCGUGAAGGAAGAAGGUUUUCGGAUUGUAAACUUCUGUCCUAAGUGACGAACACAAUGACGGUAGCUUAGGAGGAAGCCCCGGCUAACUACGUGCCAGCAGCCGCGGUAAUACGUAGGGGGCAAGCGUUGUCCGGAAUGACUGGGCGUAAAGGGCGUGUAGGCGGCUUUUUAAGUGUGAAGUGAAAGUCCUGCUUUCAAGGUGGGAACUGCUUUGCAAACUGGAGAGCUUGAGUGCGGAAGAGGUAAGUGGAAUUCCCAGUGUAGCGGUGAAAUGCGUAGAGAUUGGGAGGAACACCAGUGGCGAAGGCGACUUACUGGGCCGUAACUGACGCUGAGGCGCGAAAGCGUGGGGAGCGAACAGGAUUAGAUACCCUGGUAGUCCACGCUGUAAACGAUGAAUGCUAGUGUAGCGGGUAUCGACCUCUGCUGUGCCGCAGUAAACACAAUAAGCAUUCCGCCUGGGGAGUACGGGCCGCAAGGUUGAAACUCAAAGGAAUUGACGGGGGCCCGCACAAGCAGCGGAGCAUGUUGUUUAAUUC